AAGCUAUUAAAUUAAAAUUUAUUUAAUUUGUACAAUUAUGUUCUGUUGAAUGUAAUUUUGAUGUAAUUGCGACUAUGUCGAAGUUUGGAUAAUGGCUAAUAAUGCAUCUGAUGAGUUGCUUUCCGUAUAGUUUGGGAUUUGGUGUGAGAGAGGUAGGUGGGGUUGCAAUUCUAUGGUUGGUGUGGACCGGAUCGGAAAGCUUAGUUCAAACUAAACCUAACAUUUUGCUUGGUCAAGUAGUAUUUGCUCAACCCUUUGACCCAACCUGAUGCGUUCGCUCAAACCUACUGUGACCUAACAUGUUGCCAAUUUUUUUUGUUUUGGAUCAUGUUGGUUUGGUUAAGGUUGGUGAGAAAUGCGAGGUUGGUGAAGUAUAUUUGAUGAAGUAAAGCUGUUUGGCGAAAUGCCACAAAGAUAAUGCGUAAAAGCAUGUACUUAUGUAGGCAUCUCAAUGCGUAAAAGCAUGUGUACUUAUGUAGGCGUCUCUUUUCACUAGGGCUAGAAAAUUAUGAACUUAUGACCCUAUGUAACUAUUUUGUUUUGGAUCAUGUUGGUUUGGUUAAGGUUGGUGAGAAAUGCGAGGUUGGUGAAGUAUAUUUGAUGAAGUAAAGCUGUUUGGCGAAAUGCCACAAAGAUAAUGCGUAAAAGCAUGUACUUAUGUAGGCAUCUCAAUGCGUAAAAGCAUGAAGAGAUGUGCGGUUAGGAUGAUAGUGGUCCUCUAGACUUGAAUGGGUAGUUGGUUGAAUAGUAUGAUCUAACAGGUAAAAAUGGUUAAAAGGAUAGAUCUAAUGGUGAAAAACUCGAUAGUACCAAACACUUAGUUUAUCAAUAGUAUAGUAGCUGGACUCUUAAUUAGUAGUUGGAGAUAGUUAAUAGUUA
rnacentral:lncRNA from 1 species